GAUGAACGCUGGCGGCGUGCCUAAUACAUGCAAGUCGAGCGAACGGACGAGACUCUUUCUUCUCUUCUGUUAGCGGCGGACGGGUGAUUAAUACGUGGCUACCCUACCUAUAAGACUGAGGUCACUUCGCGAGCCCUGAUCUCACAUCCGUUCUUAUUUUGAACCUCAUGGAUCAUCAGUCCACGCCCUUCUUGCUGUCCCUUAUUGAUGUUUCCUCGCUGCAUUAGUUAGUUGGUACGGUAACGGCAUACCAAGGCGACGAUGCAUAACUGAUCUGAGAGGGUGAUCAGCCACACUGGAACUGAGACACGGUCCAGACUCCUACGGGAGGCAGCAGUAGGGAAUAUUGGGCAAUGGGCGAAAGCCUGACGGAGCAACGCCGCGUGAGUGAAGAAGGUCUUCGGAUUGUAAAACACUGUUAGUAGGGAAGAACAGAAGUAAAAGAAAAUGUGCACAUCUUGACGGUACCAAAAGAGAAAGCAACGGCUAACUACGUG
rnacentral:rRNA from 1 species